rnacentral:lncRNA from 1 species
GACAGCUCUCCAACAAAAUCAGAAUCAUUUCAACACUUUUUUUUUAGUUAUAAUUUUUUCCUUUUAUUUUCUCCCUCAAGCACAGAAAAACCACUCCCUCGUUUCUCUUCUAAUUCUCACUCAUCACGCAUGAAUGCUAGAAAAUUUUGAUCACUCUCUUCUCAAACAAUAAUUUACCCUAAUUUGUCUUUUCACGCACAACCCCAUUCCCUCAUUUUCGGAGAUAAGACUACCAACAUGGAAGGAGAGAGAGACCAAUAAGCGGGGAGAGAGGCGGCGGAGGGCAAUCGUUGCUCAGAUCUUCGUCGGCUUGAGGAUGUACGGUAGUUACAAGCUCCCCAAGCACUAUGAUAACAAAGAGGUUCUUAAAGCUCUAUGUAAUGAAACGGGUUGGAUCGUUGAAGAAGAUGGAAUAUUUUAUAGAAUGGUACUGUUCAAAUUCAUUUCCUCUGAUUAUGCAAUUUCUGAUCAAUUUUUUAAACAUUACUUUUAUGGUAAAUUUGGCAUCAUGUACUCUUCAUUUUAAUUUUAUGCACCAUUUGGACGAGUUUUAAGAAUUCUGAUGCUGGGAUCCUUUUACAGGCAUCUGUCAAAAAGGAAAACCAGAAAUUGUUCUUUUUUUUCUAAAAAAAAAAAAAAUGCAGUAAUGAGAUUUGUAUGCUCCUUUGGAGCUUCAGAGGGUAGAGAUUAUUAUCGUGUUGUGGGAACAUUCAGUAUAGCCUUGUAUAUGUAAUCGAAGUAAUAUACUUAACUUGUG